AUGAUUAAGGAUAUGGGGAUCCUGUACCUUGACGCGCUCGUUCAUGACAUCCCAGUAAGCAACUGUGCUAUACGAUCGAAUGCAUGGGACAGUAACCUAAUUGCCAAGGUGAUCAAGAAGGACACGAUCUCUCCUGGUGUGUUUGGCAAAUUACAAAAAAAGGCAAAGAUUGCCAAAGUGGUCAAUGACUUGUGCAAGGCAGUAACUGAACAGGUUGGCACCUUCAUUGAAGCAGUUGCCAAGAUCGAUGAUGAGGAACCGGAUGUUGAUCCAUAUGUACAGCAGACAUCAACGGGAACCGCUCCGUCACGCCGUGCUCCAAAAAGGAAGAGACGGGUUUCACCUAUACCAGAAGAAGAAGAGUUCGCUGAGGAGGAGUAA
rnacentral:rRNA from 1 species